rnacentral:rRNA from 1 species
CCUAACACAUGCAAGUCGAACGGUAACAGGAAGCAGCUUGCUGCUUCGCUGACGAGUGGCGGACGGGUGAGUAAUGUCUGGGAAGCUGCCUGAUGGAGGGGGAUAACUACUGGAAACGGUAGCUAAUACCGCAUAAUGUCGCAAGACCAAAGAGGGGGACCUUCGGGCCUCUUGCCAUCGGAUGUGCCCAGAUGGGAUUAGCUUGUUGGUGGGGUAACGGCUCACCAAGGCGACGAUCCCUAGCUGGUCUGAGAGGAUGACCAGCCACACUGGAACUGAGACACGGUCCAGACUCCUACGGGAGGCAGCAGUGGGGAAUAUUGCACAAUGGGCGCAAGCCUGAUGCAGCCAUGCCGCGUGUAUGAAGAAGGCCUUCGGGUUGUAGAGACUUUCAGCGGGGAG